GAGCAAGGCUUUACUGAGUGACAGAACAACUCACAGCAGAGAGGAGACCUGAAGUGGGUAGCUCCUAUCUUAUAGGGAGUUCAUCCCAAUGAGCGUCUGAGUCUGGCUGUGUCUGGAGUUUUUAUGGGUUCAGAAGUGAUGAAGUUCAUGCUGAUUGGUCAAUAGACAGCCAUGGGUGGGCCUGGAAAAUCCACCAUCCAGUUGGUAAAGACAUUGAGGGAGUUCUCACUCAUGAUGGUGGGCUUCACCCUGAACUGUCAGUCCAGCCCUAAGGCUUCAAGCUGUCCCUGGCUUAAAGGUGGAGUUUCACAAGGGACCCACCCAUUUCCACCUAGGAACCUAUCUGCCUCCCACCAGUAACAAAGCAAACUUCCAGAAACAAAACAGACAAAACUUUGUGACGACAAAUAUCACAGUUGCCACACAGGCCAGCAGAAACCCAAUCACAUCCAAAGAGUGGUACUGGAACCAGUUUUAGUUAAAGAUGC
rnacentral:lncRNA from 10 species